rnacentral:rRNA from 1 species
AUGCACGCUGGCGGCGUGCUUAACACCUGCAAGUCGCACGGAAAGGCCCAAGCUUGCUUGGGUACUCGAGUGGCGAACGGGUGAGUAACACGUGGGUGAUCUGCCCUGCACUUCGGGAUAAGCCUGGGAAACUGGGUCUAAUACCGGAUAGGACCACAUUUUGGAUGGUGUGGUGGAAAGUUUUUCGGUGUGGGAUGAGCUCGCGGCCUAUCAGCUUGUUGGUGGGGUAAUGGCCUACCAAGGCGUCGACGGGUAGCCGGCCUGAGAGGGUGUACGGCCACAUUGGGACUGAGAUACGGCCCAGACUCCUACGGGAGGCAGCAGUGGGGAAUAUUGCACAAUGGGCGCAAGCCUGAUGCAGCGACGCCGCGUGGGGGAUGACGGCCUUCGGGUUGGAAACUCCUUUCGCUAGGGACGAAGCGUUAUGUGACGGUACCUGGAGAAGAAGCACCGGCUAACUACGUG